GCAAGGUUAAAACUCAAAUGAAUUGACGGGGGCCCGCACAAGCGGUGGAGCAUGUGGUUUAAUUCGAUGCAACGCGAAGAACCUUACCUACUCUUGACAUCCAGAGAACUUAGCAGAGAUGCUUUGGUGCCUUCGGGAACUCUGAGACAGGUGCUGCAUGGCUGUCGUCAGCUCGUGUUGUGAAAUGUUGGGUUAAGUCCCGCAACGAGCGCAACCCUUAUCCUUUGUUGCCAG
rnacentral:rRNA from 2 species